rnacentral:lncRNA from 1 species
CAGCAGCGGUACCCCCGGCAUGGGGCCCGCAGGCUCCCCCGUCCCACGGGGGUGUCCCCUUACCUGUGGCGGCGGCGCGGAGCGGGCGGCCCCGCAGCAGCGACUGCAGGCGGGCGGCGCGGCGGUGCAGGCGGGCGGCGCGACGGGCCAGCGCCCGCAGGUGGCCCUCGAUGUCCCCCAGGAGAGCGACCGAGUGGCCGCAGAGCUCGGCCAGCUGCCGCAGCAGGGCGAGAGCCGCCAGGCUGCAGGUGUCCCGCAGAUCGGUCAGCGGCCCCGCCGGCCGGACCCGCACUGCCACGCUCCGUCGGUAGAACGGCAUGGGGCGGAUUGGCUCGGGGCGGAUCGGCUCUGUUUCCCCCGGCCCGGUUGCCCCCCGGCCCGGUUCGGUUCAGCCCAGCCAGGCACUGUUCCCCCCGUCGAGCCCCGCGGCUGCGAGGGCUGUGGUCCGGCAGCAGCGCCGGGGCUCGGAGCCGGUCUGUGGGAGGAGGAGGAGGAGGAGGAAGGGGAGGGAGGGGCGGCCCCGCUCGGGGAUGCUCGGGCCGGCGGCGGGGCACGGCGGCACUCGGGAGGGAGAGAGCGGCCCCGGCGGGAGGAGCUGCGGAGACGCUGCGGGCUGGCUGGGGCCGGAGCCCUGGAGCUGGCGCUGCUCGGGCUGGGGCACAGGAAUCCCUCGGGGCCGGCCCUUCCCUCCCGAUGCCAUUCCGAAGGACACGGACACCCUCCGGUUUGUUGUGGCAGCAGUGCCCAGGUCUCGAGGCUGGCUUAGCCAGGAGGAUUUUAAGCCAGUUGGAGAGGUGUGAACACCUUGCCAUCGAGUGUGAGCUGAGAUCCGGACUCUGGGAGCCAAGGGAUUCAUAAAACCAUCACAUAGUGCAGCAACCUCAAUAAAUGACAAAAAUCUGGUCGCUUAGCAACUUAAACU